AAUAUUCAAUGGCAGUCGGUUGAAGUUUUGAUGCUCAGUUUAAUGACAUGACGGUCAAGUUUAAGUUUUGAUGCUCAGUUUAAUGACAUGGCGGUCGAGUUCAAGUUUUGAUGAACAACUUCGCAGUCGUUUAGAUUGGGUUUAGUUUAACGACUUUCCGGUCGUUUGAAGUUGAGUUUAGUUUAGCGACAUUUCGGUCGUUUGAAGUUAAGUUUAGUUUAGCGACAUUUCGGUCGUUUGUAUUUUGGGUUUAGUUUAGCGACAUUUCGGUCNAAGUUGAGUUUAGUUUAGCGACAUUUCGGUCGUUUGAAGUUAAGUUUAGUUUAGCGACAUUUCGGUCGUUUGUAUUUUGGGUUUAGUUUAGCGACAUUUCGGUCAUUUGAAUUGGUUUUGGGUUGAACCGUUAUGCCUUGGUUCAGGA
rnacentral:lncRNA from 1 species